rnacentral:rRNA from 1 species
AACGAACGCUGGCGGCAUGCCUAACACAUGCAAGUCGAACGAGACCUUCGGGUCUAGUGGCGCACGGGUGCGUAACGCGUGGGAACCUGCCCUUAGGUUCGGAAUAACUCCCCGAAAGGGGUGCUAAUACCGGAUAAUGUCUUCGGACCAAAGAUUUAUCGCCUUUGGAUGGGCCCGCGUUGGAUUAGCUAGUUGGUAGGGUAAAAGCCUGCCAAGGCGACGAUCCAUAGCUGGUCUGAGAGGAUGAUCAGCCACACUGGGACUGAGACACGGCCCAGACUCCUACGGGAGGCAGCAGUGGGGAAUAUUGGACAAUGGGCGAAAGCCUGAUCCAGCAAUGCCGCGUGAGUGAUGAAGGCCUUAGGGUUGUAAAGCUCUUUUACCCGAGAUGAUAAUGACAGUACCGGGAGAAUAAGCUCCGGCUAACUCCGUG